UAAUACGUAGGGGGCAAGCGUUGUCCGGAAUUAUUGGGCGUAAAGCGCGCGCAGGCGGUCAUUUAAGUUUGGUGUUUAAGCCCGGGGCUCAACCCCGGAUCGCACUGAAAACUGGGUGACUUGAGUGCGGGAGAGGAAAGUGGAAUUCCACGUGUAGCGGUGAAAUGCGUAGAGAUGUGGAGGAACACCAGUGGCGAAGGCGACUUUCUGGACCGUAACUGACGCUGAGGCGCGAAAGCGUGGGGAGCAAACAGGAUUAGAUACCCUGGUAGUCCACGCCGUAAACGAUGAGUGCUAGGUGUUAGGGGUUUCGAUACCCUUGGUGCCGAAGUCAACACAGUAAGCACUCCGCCUGGGGAGUACGCUCGCAAGAGUGAA
rnacentral:rRNA from 1 species